rnacentral:rRNA from 1 species
CCUACGGGGGUCUGCAGUGGGGAAUCUUGCGCAAUGGGCGAAAGCCUGACGCAGCGACGCCGCGUGGGUGAUGAAGGCCUUCGGGUUGUAAAGCUCUUUGGGUGGAGACGAAUAAGUCGUGGCUAACAUCCACGAUGAUGACGGUAUCCACAUAACAAGCACCGGCUAACUCUGUGCAGCAGCCGCGGUAAGACAGAGGGCGCAAACGUUGUUCGGAAUUACCGGGCGUACGGCGCAUGUAGGCGGCUGUGAAAUCCCUCGGCUCAACCAAGGAAGUGCAGUCGAAAACGCAGGGCUGGAGUCCCGGAGAGGAAGGUGGAAUUCUCGGUGUAGAGGUGAAAUUCGUAGAUAUCGAGAGGAACACCGGUGGCGAAAGCGGCCUUCUGGACGAGGACUGACGCUGAGAUGCGAAAGCGUGGGGAGCAAACAGGAUUAGAUACCCCUGUAGUC